GUGGGGAAUAUUGGACAAUGGGGGCAACCCUGAUCCAGCCAUGCCGCGUGAGUGAAGAAGGCCUUAGGGUUGUAAAACUCUUUCACCGGUGAAGAUAAUGACGGUAGCCGGAGAAGAAGCCCCGGCUAACUCCGUGCCAGCAGCCGCGGUAAUACGGAGGGGGCUAGCGUUGUUCGGAAUCACUGGGCGUAAAGCGCACGUAGGCGGUUCGUUAAGUUGGGCGUGAAAGCCCGGGGCUCAACCCCGGAGGUGCGUUCGAAACUGGCGGACUAGAGUCCGGGAGAGGGUGGUGGAAUUCCCAGUGUAGAGGUGAAAUUCGUAGAUAUUGGGAAGAACACCAGUGGCGAAGGCGACCACCUGGUCCGGUACUGACGCUGAGGUGCGAAAGCGUGGGGAGCAAACAGG
rnacentral:rRNA from 1 species